AUGGUUCCGUGCACAAAACUGAUUUACCCGCACCUUUCUAGGGCACACCUCCUACAGCACAAGAAACACUGCAAUAAAGCCCACAAGGCCCAAUCACUGACAGCAGCUGAGAGGCCCAUCUGGGAAAUAACUCCGGAACCCCUUCAGACAAACUUGCCGUGGUGGGGUGACCUGGCCAUCACUGAUUCCCUGCCAGCUUGUUUGCAGCCAGGAUUUUUCACAGAUGCUCCCUGA
rnacentral:lncRNA from 1 species